rnacentral:rRNA from 1 species
AGUGAACGCUGGCGGUAGGCCUAACACAUGCAAGUCGAACGGCAGCACAGUAAGAGCUUGCUCUUACGGGUGGCGAGUGGCGGACGGGUGAGGAAUACAUCGGAAUCUACUUUUUCGUGGGGGAUAACGUAGGGAAACUUACGCUAAUACCGCAUACGACCUACGGGUGAAAGCAGGGGAUCUUCGGACCUUGCGCGAUUGAAUGAGCCGAUGUCGGAUUAGCUAGUUGGCGGGGUAAAGGCCCACCAAGGCGACGAUCCGUAGCUGGUCUGAGAGGAUGAUCGGCCAAACUGGAACUGAGACAGGGUCCAGACUCCUACGGGAGGCAGCAGUGGGGAAUAUUGGACAAUGGGCGCAAGCCUGAUCCAGCCAUACCGCGUGGGUGAAGAAGGCCUUCGGGGUGUAAAGCCCUUUUGUUGGGAAAGAAAAGCAGCAGGUUAAUACCCCGCUGUUCUGACGGUACCCAAAGAAUAAGCACCGGCUAACUUCGUG